rnacentral:ribozyme from 13 species
AGAAGAGAGAAAAGAAGAGAGAAAAGAAGAAGAGGAGGAACAACAGCAAGAUUUUAUUUCUUAUCUUUCUUCUGCCCUUCCUUCUUCCUCUUCUCUUUC